ensembl:snRNA LOC120102712 U1 spliceosomal RNA
AUAAAAACUAGUCUGUACAACCACCAAGGUGAUUGCCCCAGAGCAAGGCUUCUCUAUUGCACUCUGGAUGUGUUGACUUUUGCCAUUUCCCCAACUGUGGGAAAGUUGACUGCAUCAUUUGUGGUAACGGGGGUCUGCAUGCUUCCCACU